rnacentral:rRNA from 1 species
UACGUAGGGUGCGAGCGUUAAUCGGAAUUACUGGGCGUAAAGUGUGCGCAGGCGGCCGCGCAAGUCGAGUGUGGAAGCCCCGAGCUUAACUUGGGAACUGCGCUCGAAACUACGUGGCUGGAGUGUGGCAGAGGGAGGUGGAAUUCCUGGUGUAGCGGUGAAAUGCGCAGAUAUCAGGAGGAACACCAAUUGCGAAGGCAGCUCGCUGGGACGUUACUGACGCUGAGACGCGAAAGCGUGGGGAGCAAACAGG